UACGGAGGGUGCAAGCGUUAUCCGGAUUCACUGGGUUUAAAGGGUGCGUAGGUGGGUUGGUAAGUCAGUGGUGAAAUCCCCGAGCUUAACUUGGGAACUGCCAUUGAUACUAUUGAUCUUGAAUACCGUGGAGGUCAGCGGAAUAUGUCAUGUAGCGGUGAAAUGCUUAGAUAUGACACAGAACACCGAUUGCGAAGGCAGCUCACUAAAUUGUAACUGACGCUGAGGCACGAAAGCGUGGGGAUCAAACAGG
rnacentral:rRNA from 1 species